CGCUCCGGCUCGGCCGCCCGGAAAUGCGGCUGCCGCCCGCAGUCCACUCGCGGCCCAGCGGCCCGGCCCGGCCCGGCCCGGCCCGGCCCGCCGCUCCUCGGGCCUCCCGCGGUUCUUGAAGGGGCACGUGUCUGAGUGAAGAAACCAGGCUCUGAAGGUGACCUGCCCCAGCCGCCAGCCGGUCAGCAGCAGAGCUGUGGCUGGAACGCUGUGCCAACCCGCGCCGGGAACUGGGGUAGCGAAGCCUCACCUGCACUCCUCGCUGCUCCAG